rnacentral:rRNA from 1 species
GAUGAACGCUAGCUACAGGCUUAACACAUGCAAGUCGAGGGGCAGCACAGUGUAGCAAUACAUGGGUGGCGACCGGCGCACGGGUGCGUAGCGCGUAUCCAACCUUCCCGUUACGCAGGGAUCGCCUUCCGUACGGGAGAUUAAUAACUGAUGGUGUUCAAAUUCCGCACGUUAUUCGAACUAAAGAUUUUUCGGUCUCGGAUGGGGAUGCGUGACAUGAGAUAGUAGGAGGGGUAACGGCCCACCUAGUCUACGAUGUCUAGGGGUUCUGAGAGGAAGGUCACCCACACUGGAACUGAGACACGGUCCAGACUCCUACGGGAGGCAGCAGUGAGGAAUAUUGGUCAAUGGUCGGAAGACUGAACCAGCCAAGUAGCGUGAAGGAUGAAGGUUCUAUGGAUUGUAAACUUCUUUUAUACGGGAAUAAAACCUCCCACGUGUGGGAGCUUGUAUGUACCGUAUGAAUAAGCAUCGGCUAACUCCGUGCCAGCCGCCGCGGUAACAC